rnacentral:rRNA from 1 species
GUGGGGAAUAUUGGACAAUGGGCGAAAGCCUGAUCCAGCCAUGCCGCGUGUGUGAAGAAGGUCUUCGGAUUGUAAAGCACUUUAAGUUGGGAGGAAGGGCAGUAAGUUAAUACCUUGCUGUUUUGACGUUACCGACAGAAUAAGCGCCGGCUAACUUCGUGCCAGCAGCCGCGGUAAUACGAAGGGUGCAAGCGUUAAUCGGAAUUACUGGGCGUAAAGCGCGCGUAGGUGGUUUUGUAAGUUGGAGGUGAAAUCCCCGGGCUCAACCUGGGAACUGCCUCCAAAACUGCAUGACUAGAGUACGGUAGAGGGUAGUGGAAUUUCCUGUGUAGCGGUGAAAUGCGUAGAUAUAGGAAGGAACACCAGUGGCGAAGGCGACUACCUGGACUGAUACUGACACUGAGGUGCGAAAGCGUGGGGAGCAAACAGGAUUAGAUACCCCGGUAGUCC